GGGCGAGUGGCGGAAUGGCAGACGCGCUGGCUUCAGGUGCAGUGUCUUCGGGACGUGGGGGUUCAAGUCCCCCCUUCGCCCA
rnacentral:tRNA from 1 species